GAUGAAGAACGUAGCGAAAUGCGAUAAGUAAUGUGAAUUGCUGAAUUCAGUGAAUCAUCGAAUCUUUGAACGCACAUUGCGCCCGCGAGUAUUCUCGCGGGCAUGCCUGUCCGAGCGUCAUUUCAACCCUCAGGGCCCGCCUGCUUCGGCAGGCGCGGCGCUGGUGUUGGGGAUCGGCCUAACCGCCGUCCCCCAAAUACAGUGGCGGUCUCGCUGCAGCCUCCCCUGCGUAGUAGCAACACUCGCAUGCGGAGCGCGGCGCGGCCACGCCGUAAAACCCCCGACUUUCUGAACGUUGACCUCGGAUCAGGUAGGAAUACCCGCUGAACUUAAGCAUAUCAAUAAGCGGAGGA
rnacentral:misc_RNA from 1 species